rnacentral:rRNA from 1 species
GAUGAACGCUGGCGGCGUGCCUAAUACAUGCAAGUCGAGUGAACGGACGAGAAGCUUGCUUCUCUGAUGUUAGCGGCGGACGGGUGAGUAACACGUGGAUAACCUACCUAUAAGACUGGGAUAACUUCGGGAAACCGGGGCUAAUACCGGAUAAUAUUUUGAACCGCAUGGUUCAAAAGUGAAAGACGGUCUUGCUGUCACUUAUAGAUGGAUCCGCGCUGCAUUAGCUAGUUGGUAAGGUAACGGCUUACCAAGGCAACGAUGCAUAGCCGACCUGAGAGGGUGAUCGGCCACACUGGAACUGAGACACGGUCCAGACUCCUACGGGAGGCAGCAGUAGGAAAUCUUCCGCAAUGGGCGAAAGCCUGACGGAGCAACGCCGCGUGAGUGAUGAAGGUCUUCGGAUCGUAAAACUCUGUUAUUAGGGAAGAACAUAUGUGUAAGUAACUGUGCACAUCUUGACGGUACCUAAUCAGAAAGCCACGGCUAACUACGUG